AGCAGCCGCGGUAAUUCCAGCUCCAAUAGCGUAUAUUAAAGUUGUUGCAGUUAAAAAGCUCGUAGUUGAAUUUCGGGAUCAAAAAAUACGGUCAUGCCUUGGUAUGCACUGGUUUUAUUGGUUCUCACCUUCUAAGGAACCAUAAUGUCAUUCAUUUGAUGUUAUGGGGAAUUAGGACUGUUACCUUGAAAAAUUAGAGUGUUUAAAGCAGGCUUACGCUUGAAUACAUUAGCAUGGAAUAAUGAAAUAGGACAUCAGAUUCUAUUUUGUUGGUUUCUAGGAUCGAUGUAAUGAUUAAUAGGGAUAGUUGGGGGCAUUAGUAUUCAAUUGUCAGAGGUGAAAUUCUUGGAUUUAUUUGAAGACUAACUACUGCGAAAGCAUUUGCCAAGGAUGUUUUCUAUUAAUCAAGAACGAAAGUUAGGGGAUCGAAGACGAUCAGAUACCGUCGUAGUCUUAAACCAUAAACUAUGUCCGACUAGGGGAUCGGAUGUAUGUUUAAUUUUUUAAUGUACUCAUUCGG
rnacentral:rRNA from 1 species